rnacentral:lncRNA from 1 species
AUAUAAUUGAACGUUCCUAUCAGUCAUAUUUUGUAAUAGUAGAUAUACCUUGACAGUUACCGAUAAGAUAGAGUAGGCACGUGUGUCAUAUUAAAAUGUUUUAAACUUAAAUUAAAACAAUUACGGUCUCAGACUAAAAAAAAUGAAUUAACACAUUUUCCGAAUUGUAAACAUUUUUUUGAAUCAUCAGAAUUUUCAUUAUCAACAGUUAAAUUUGUUUAAGCUGUUUCGAUACUUCAACAGGAAUGUAAUAAUCGAUUUCAAGAUUUUAAACGACAUUCACAAUAUUUUCAAUUACUCACCAAUCCAUUUAUUAUUAAUGUUGAAGAUAUCCCUAAUGAGCUUCAAAUGGAAAUAAUAGAUUUAUAGCCACAAGAUCUUAAAAACUCAGUCAAAGCAUCGCCUUUACUUUUUUUCGCUGAACUUCUUGCAUCAUUUUCAAAAAUUAAAAAUAUAACUGCAAAAAUUUCAGUAUGUUUGAAUACACUUACGUGUGUGAACAGGCUUUUUCUCAUAUGAAAAAAAUUAAAAAUCCAUACCGUUCAUGCUUCACUAAUGACCAUCUCCACCAUGUACUUAGAGCAAGCACAAGUAAUUAUAAUGUGGAAAUUGAAAAAAUAAUAAACAAUAUCCAACAACAAAAAUCACAUUAAGCAUUUUACCAAACAGUUGUAAUUUCCACACUUUUAAUUAUAAUUAUAUUAUUAAAAACUGAAAUUUUUGCAUGCAUAACUGAACGUAAAGCUACCUUUAGGUCAUAUACCUAAAUGUUUAUAAUAUCCAUAUAGAUUCACAGAUAGUGUGUAGAUUAUUUCAUAUCCCUCUCUCCCAAACUAACUACUAAGUCAGCAAUUCAACAAUAAUAUAAUUUUUAUUUCGUAAAAAUUAAUAAUUUCUCAGAUGUUCUUAUUUUAUUACAUGAUGGUACAUGGAAUAUUACGAGUAUGGUAUAUGGUAUAUGAUAUAUUAUUCAUGACAUUUUUAUUUAUUAUUUUCAAAUUUAUUACAUAUCAAAAGAGUGUAGAAAAAGAUGGAUAAACAUUUUUUGGGGUCGGUAAAUUUUGUAUUUGGAGUGGGCAAAUGUUUAAUCCAAACCCCUCCAUCAAUUUUUGUAUCCAUUAUGAAAAAUUGUAAGUGAUAUUCUAAAAUAUUUCUAUAAAAGAAGAGAUACUCUCCGUAUGUACCCACCACCCCAAUUCAAGCACAGACUUCUCAUACUAGUACUAUAUACCACUAAAACUAAUUAAUAAUUAUAAACCAAGAGAUGGUAGGGGAUUCUACUCAUUGGUUUUUUUUUAACUAAGUCAUCAAGGGGUCAAUAUUUUAUCGAAAUGUGGCUAAAAUAACAAUAAUUAUCGAAUUGCACUAAGUAUACUUAUAUAAAUAUACAUUCGGUGAAGAAAUAAAUCUAUGGCAUUUUGAAACUCUUUUCAGCACGUAAUGUCAUAACUUGAAUUGGCCUAGUUAUCGCAAGUCAUAAUUACUACAAACAAUAAUUGUAAGUAAGUAUACAACUUGUUUACUUACAUAAAAUUUUCGUGUGGAAAAGUAUAAAAGCAAAUUUUUGGAUCACAUAUUUGUAAAAACUUUUAACACCGAAUAUCUAUACAUUUAACAUUCGUAUCAUAAGUCUUGUCGAGCGCAAUUUCAGAAAGUAAACCUACUAUUGAAAUUUGUACAUUUUCGCUAUAACUUUAUAACUGUAGUGUACAGACUUCAAAUUAUUAUAGGAUCAAUAGGCGUAUGUUAGCGUUAUAACCAUGAGUAAAUUGUUUACUGGUAAUGUUUUUGCGUUUUGAUUACUAUAACAUGUUUACUCUUUCUGGUAAACAGAUCAUUUGUAACCAUCCAUUUUGAAUUGGUAAGAGGAUUUACUGAUGUUCGGUGAUUUGGUUAGAUGUUGGACUAAGAUAAACACGUAUGAAUCGUGUGCUGAAGAGAUGAAUAAUAAUUAUUAUUAAUCCAAUAGGUAUUCUAACCUAACCUAACCUACGUGACACAUGUGUUGUCUUUUCUACUAGUUGACACGUGUAGUAGUUACAGUGGAAAAUACUCUUGAUUUCCUAUAUAAACACAAUUUUGUUGACAGUUUUGGUGAAACUUGUUGUAGGGAAUCAAGUGUUGUUAAAAGUUUCUUGGGUCAUACGGUAGGCAUAUUUCCUGACUAUAACAGGUCUUAGCACGGUACAGGGCGGAAUUUGUUCAACUUGUAUACAUUUUUACCGACAUUAACUGAAAUCGGUUAGGGUUGGUAACCCGACAAAUAUUAAAUUUAAAAAUAUUUAUUAUUACUAUCUAUACUAUGUAUUAUGUUCACGUAAUAAAAAAACAUAAUAAUAUAUAAUACUGUAC